rnacentral:rRNA from 1 species
UAACCUGCUAAAUAGCUGUAACAAUAGAUUAUUGUUUUGACAGCUUCUUAGAGGGACUAUCGAUUUUCAAGUCGAUGGAAGUUUGAGGCAAUAACAGGUCUGUGAUGCCCUUAGACGUUCUGGGCCGCACGCGCGCUACACUGACGGAGCCAGCGAGUCUAACCUGUGCCGAGAGGUAUGGGUAAUCUUGUGAAACUCCGUCGUGCUGGGGAUAGAGCAUUGCAAUUAUUGCUCUUCAACGAGGAAUUCCUAGUAAGCGCAAGUCAUCAGCUUGCGUUGAUUACGUCCCUGCCCUUUGUACACACCGCCCGUCGCU